GCCAGACUCCUACGGGAGGCAGCAGUGAGGAAUAUUGGUCAAUGGCCGAGAGGCUGAACCAGCCAAGUCGCGUGAGGGAAGACGGCCCUACGGGUUGUAAACCUCUUUUGUCGGGGAGCAAAGCGAGUCACGUGUGACUCAUUGAGAGUACCCGAAGAAAAAGCAUCAGCUAACUCCGUGCCAGCAGCCGCGGUAAUACGGAGGAUGCGAGCGUUAUCCGGAUUUAUUGGGUUUAAAGGGUGCGCAGGCGGAGGUGCAAGUCAGCGGUCAAAUUGCGGGGCUCAACCCCGUACUGCCGUUGAAACUGGUUUUCUUGAGUGAGUGAGAAGUAUGCGGAAUGCGUGGUGUAGCGGUGAAAUGCAUAGAUAUCACGCAGAACUCCGAUUGCGAAGGCAGCAUACCGGCGCUCAACUGACGCUCAUGCACGAAAGUGUGGGUAUCGAACAGGAUUAGAUACCCGAGUACA
rnacentral:rRNA from 1 species